rnacentral:misc_RNA from 1 species
UCUCCGUAGGUGAACCUGCGGAGGGAUCAUUACUGAGUGAGGGCUCACGCCCGACCUCCAACCCUUUGUGAACACAUCCUGUUGCUUCGGGGGCGACCCUGCCGGCACUCUGUCGCCGGGUGCCCCCGAAGGUCUCCCAACACUGCAUCUUUGCGUCGGAGUUUAAAACAAAUUAAACAAAACUUUCAACAACGGAUCUCGUGGUUCUGGCAUCGAUGAAGAACGCAGA